CGACCGCUGGCGGCGUGCUUAACACAUGCAAGUCGAACGGAAAGGCCCUGCUUUUGUGGGGUGCUCGAGUGGCGAACGGGUGAGUAACACGUGAGUAACCUGCCCUUGACUUUGGGAUAACUUCAGGAAACUGGGGCUAAUACCGGAUAGGAGCUCCUGCUGCAUGGUGGGGGUUGGAAAGUUUCGGCGGUUGGGGAUGGACUCGCGGCUUAUCAGCUUGUUGGUGGGGUAGUGGCUUACCAAGGCUUUGACGGGUAGCCGGCCUGAGAGGGUGACCGGCCACAUUGGGACUGAGAUACGGCCCAGACUCCUACGGGAGGCAGCAGUGGGGAAUAUUGCACAAUGGGCGGAAGCCUGAUGCAGCAACGCCGCGUGCGGGAUGACGGCCUUCGGGUUGUAAACCGCUUUCGCCUGUGACGAAGCGUGGGUGACGGUAAUGGGUAAAGAAGCACCGGCUAACUACGUG
rnacentral:rRNA from 1 species